rnacentral:tRNA from 6 species
GCCUUGAUGGUGAAAUGGUAGACACGCGAGACUCAAAAUUUCGUGCUAAACAGCGUGGAGGUUCGAGUCCUCUUCAAGGCA